rnacentral:piRNA from 1 species
UUUGCACCUAAUUUGAAUUCA